GACGAACGCUGGCGGCGUGCUUAACACAUGCAAGUCGAACGGAAAGGCCCUGCUUUUGUGGGGUGCUCGAGUGGCGAACGGGUGAGUAACACGUGAGUAACCUGCCCUUGACUUUGGGAUAACUUCAGGAAACUGGGGCUAAUACCGGAUAGGAGCUCCUGCUGCAUGGUGGGGGUUGGAAAGUUUCGGCGGGUGGGGAUGGACUCGCGGCUUAUCAGCUUGUUGGUGGGGUAGUGGCUUACCAAGGCUUUGACGGGUAGCCGGCCUGAGAGGGUGACCGGCCACAUUGGGACUGAGAUACGGCCCAGACUCCUACGGGAGGCAGCAGUGGGGAAGAUGGCACAAUGGGCGGAAGCCUGAUGCAGCAACGCCGCGUGCGGGAUGACGGCCUUCGGGUUGUAAACCGCUUUCGCCUGUGACGAAGCGUGAGUGACGGUAAUGGGUAAAGAAGCACCGGCUAACUACGUG
rnacentral:rRNA from 1 species